UGGGGAAUUUUCCGCAAUGGGCGAAAGCCUGACGGAGCAAUACCGCGUGAGGGAAGACUGCCUAUGGGUUGUAAACCUCUUUUUUCAGGGAGGAAUAAAAUGACGUGUACCUGAAGAAUAAGCAUCGGCUAACUCCGUGCCAGCAGCCGCGGUAAGACGGAGGAUGCAAGUGUUAUCCGGAAUCACUGGGCGUAAAGCGUCUGUAGGUGGUUUAAUAAGUCAACUGUUAAAUCUUGAGGCUCAACUUCA
rnacentral:rRNA from 1 species